AACCAGGAUUCCCUCAGUAGCUGCGAGCGAACAGGGAUUAGCCCAGCACCGAAUCCCGCGGCCGAUACCGGACGCCGGGAAAUGUGGUGUUCGGGAGGGUCCGUUUAUCCCGAGAUCGCGCGGCGCGUCCAAGUCCAUCUUGAACGGGGCCACAGCCCAUAGAGGGUGCCAGGCCCGUAGCGACCGCCGCCGGUAGCGGGAGGAUCUCUCCUUAGAGUCGGGUUGCUUGAGAGUGCAGCCCUAAGCGGGUGGUAAACUCCAUCUAAGGCUAAAUAUGACCACGAGACCGAUAGCGAACAAGUACCGUGAGGGAAAGUUGAAAAGCACUUUGAAGAGAGAGUUCAAGAGUACGUGAAACCGUUUAGGGGUAAACCUGAGGAACCCGAAAUGUCGAAGGGAGAAAUUCAAUCGCGUUUCGCGGCAGGCGUCGGACGGUCGACUGCGACGGAAAACGUGGACGCGUUCGCGCGCGUCAGUUUUCCGCGCCUUCCGUUCGCUUCGAACCGGCCACGAACGCGUGCACUUUUCUCCUGGUAGGACGUCGCGAUCCGUUGGGCGUCGGUCUACGGCUCGCGGUGGAGCCCGUCUGCGUUCGUUCUUCGCACGCGGACGGACCCGCGUGUCCCGGCUGACUCGCUCGACGGUACGCUAACGGUUAAGGGCCGCUAUUUAUUAGCGUCCGAGUCGCGGCAAGCGCGCCACGUGAGUCGGCGAUCGGACCUCGUGCCGAUUCCGACCUCUGGCGACUGUUGGCAUCGCGAACAUAAUUCUCGGACAGACCUUCGACCGAUCGGCGACGCUAUAGCUUUGGGUACUUUCAGGACCCGUCUUGAAACACGGACCAAGGAGUCUAGCAUGUGCGCGAGUCAUUGGGAAUCGCUAAACCUAAAGGCGCAAUGAAAGUAAAGGUCUUCCUCGCGAAGACUUAGGGAAGACGGGCGGUUCGCGCGCGUAAAGCGCGCGGCCGCCUCGCACUCCCGGGGCGUCUCGUUCUCAUCGCGAGAAGAGGCGCACCAUGAGCGUACACGCUGGGACCCGAAAGAUGGUGAACUAUGCCUGGUCAGGACGAAGUCAGGGGAAACCCUGAUGGAGGUCCGUAGCGAUUCUGACGUGCAAAUCGAUCGUCGGAACUGGGUAUAGGGGCGAAAGACUAAUCGAACCAUCUAGUAGCUGGUUCCCUCCGAAGUUUCCCUCAGGAUAGCUGGCGCUCGUCGCGUACGAGUCUCAUCCGGUAAAGCGAAUGAUUAGAGGCAUUGGGGUCGAAACGACCUCAACCUAUUCUCAAACUUUAAAUGGGUGAGAUCUCCGGCUUGCUCGAAUUACGUACGCGUCGUCGUUUCGGCGUCGGCGCGUAAUAAUGAAGCCGCGAGAUACACGGAUCAGAGUGCCAAGUGGGCCAUUUUUGGUAAGCAGAACUGGCGCUGUGGGAUGAACCAAACGUCGAGUUAAAGCGCCUAAAUCGACGCUUAUGGGAUACCAUGAAAGGCGUUGGUAACUUAAGACAGCAGGACGGUGGCCAUGGAAGUCGGAAUCCGCCAAGGAGUGUGUAACAACUCACCUGCCGAAGUUACUAGCCCUGAAAAUGGAUGGCGCUGAAGCGUCGUGCUAUACUCGACCGUCAGCGGCAUGUGCGAUCGCCGCGUUCGCGCGCGGCGUUCAUGAAGCCCUGACGAGUAGGAGGGUCGCGGCGGUGAGCGCAGAAGGGCUGGCCGCGAGGCCGUCUGGAGCCGCCGUCGGUGCAGAUCUUGGUGGUAGUAGCAAAUACUCCAGCGAGGCCCUGGAGGACUGACGUGGAGAAGGGUUUCGUGUGAACAGCCGUUGCACACGAGUCAGUCGAUCCUAAGCCCUAGGCGAAAGCCGAUGUCGAUGUGGUGUAGAUUUGAGAAAAAUGAACGUAGAAGCGAGCGGCGAGUCGGAAAUCGGUUUCUUUGUUUGUUUUUUCUCGUCGUCGUCCUCU
rnacentral:rRNA from 1 species